rnacentral:rRNA from 1 species
UGAGGAAUCUUCCACAAUGGGGGCAACCCUGAUGGAGCAACGCCGCGUGCAGGAUGAAGGCCUUCGGGUUGUAAACUGCUUUUAUUAGUGAAGAAUAUGACGGUAACUAAUGAAUAAGGAUCGGCUAACUACGUGCCAGCAGCCGCAGUUAUACGUAGGCUCCGAGCGUUAUCCGGAGUGACUGGGCGUAAAGAGUUGCGUAGGUGGUUUGUAAAGCGAAUAGUGAAAUCUGGCGGCUCAACCGUACAGGCUAUUAUUCGAACUCACAAACUCGAGAAUGGUAGAGGUAGCUGGAAUUUCUGGUGUAGGAGUGAAAUCCGUAGAUAUAAGAAGGAACACCAAUGGCGUAGGCAGGUUACUGGACCAUUUCUGACACUAAGGCACGAAAGCGUGGGGAGCGAACC